CAGUGGACAAUCUGCUCCGGCCAGAAGCUC
rnacentral:piRNA from 1 species